CGGACGGGUGAGUAAUGUCUGGGAAACUGCCUGAUGGAGGGGGAUAACUACUGGAAACGGUAGCUAAUACCGCAUAAUGUCUACGGACCAAAGAGGGGGACCUUCGGGCCUCUUGCCAUCGGAUGUGCCCAGAUGGGAUUAGCUAGUAGGUGGGGUAACGGCUCACCUAGGCGACGAUCCCUAGCUGGUCUGAGAGGAUGACCAGCCACACUGGAACUGAGACACGGUCCAG
rnacentral:rRNA from 1 species